rnacentral:rRNA from 1 species
UACGUAGGGGGCAAGCGUUAUCCGGAAUCAUUGGGUUUAAAGGGUCCGUAGGCGGUUUUGUAAGUCAGUGGUGAAAGCCCAUCGCUCAACGGUGGAACGGCCAUUGAUACUGCAAGACUUGAAUUAUUAGGAAGUAACUAGAAUAUGUAGUGUAGCGGUGAAAUGCUUAGAGAUUACAUGGAAUACCAAUUGCGAAGGCAGGUUACUACUAAUGGAUUGACGCUGAUGGACGAAAGCGUGGGGAGCGAACAGG